UGUCUAAUAUAAAGUGAGAAGCAGCCUUCAGGUUUAUAUAGACAAUUCACACCAAUCUCAAAACCCAGGGCUUGUAGUCAGUCUGCAACGCCAUCCCUGGUCAGUGUGACAUGAGUGUGGAGGAGUCUACUGAUUAAUUGCUCCGGCUAAUAUUCCCGAAGUAGUUGAUGCGACAAAGCAACGACAAAUGUCUACUUUUGUCGUGUUUAUGAGGGCCCAUAUAAUUUACCCUGACAGAGAUGACAGUGCCGCCACUGACACAACCUCCGGACACAACUCUUCCCAGCCCCUGAGAGGGAAGACAGUGCAGGGUA